AGCGGCGAUGGGGCGGUGCGCCCGGGGAAGGGGGUCUGGAGGAGGGCCUUCGGCGGUGUCACUUCCUUCCGGGUGCGCGCACGGGAGCGGGGUGCCUUCUGCCCCGCGUAGCGAACCCUCGCUCCGCAUCCCGCGCUCCCUGGAGAGGCGCGCGGUCCCCGUGCUUUGGCUCGUGCGUGUCCGUUAUAACGGGAUCUGCCCUCCCUUCUGAAGGCGAGCGCCGGUAGACCCCCUGCCGCGGCCUGUGCAGGCUGGGCGGGCGGAAAAGGCCUGGGCAGCCCCCAGGCCACCGCACCAGCCGGCUGCAGGGGGCACAUCGUUUAAAUCCGCCUCCGGGCCGUGGUCUCUCUCUGUCCCAAAGCCGCUUCUUAACGCUGGCUGAAUCAGUCCAGAUCCUUAGCUGUAUCCCGCUUUUCCACCGUGUGUACCCGUGCUUCCUUUCCAACUCAUCCUGAAGGAGGCGGCUGGAUGCCCCCUGCUGCCAUUAUUUGCUAUUUCCAGAGGCAGUGGUACUGAGCCAUCACUUGAUUGCCAGCAAAUUGGUCCCUUCUUGGCAAGAUAUUCAUGCCUUAGAUAGUCUCCGAAACAAUACUAUCGUAGGUGGAAAUGGGACACCUGAGUUUAUAACUCCUGGUAAACUACCACACUCUUUGCAAGCCUAUUUUGUGGAACAAUAAAUGGUGGGUGUGAGACCACCGUGCAGUGCUGUGGAAUUAAACUGCCUGUGUAAAGUGCUAAGCAUGAUGUCUGGCAUGCAAGACACAGUACAUCCCAUUAGUUGAUUGAAUGGCGUUGCCAAGUUCAAAUUCAUUUUUUAAUAUUUUCUUUUUGGAGCAUUUGCACAUUACUCAACUUCUCUGGCUAAUUUGAUACUUAAUGGGAAUGGAAGUGACUAUUUUGUUAACAUAUUUAGAUGCACAAGGGGAAUCUGAAAUACAAAGUUGGAGCAGUAUUACUAGCACAACUGGAGAGGCAAGAUGUGAUCAGCCUGGCUCUGUGCCCUUUCCACGCACCGCGCCAGCUCCUGUUUUCAUGCAGAUUACGUUGCCUAUCAGAGACAAUGUCUUCUUUAACUGUAGUUUUCUGUUUUUCUAGAAAUCUACACACUGUUGACUUUCUUUGCUGAUUUUGUCUCAGACAUCUGCAAACCUACUCGCAGCGCCUAGAGAAGUUGGGGGAUCAGCUCCAGACCACCAUGAUGCAGCUAAACCAACAGAGCAAGCCGAACGCGCUCCCGGCUUUCCCGGUACACGCACACGUUACAUCCACGCUGCACUGCAGUCUGAUUGCUGGUUUUGCCUCAAAGGGAAUCUGAACUGCUAGGCAACAGCCCCUGACUGGCCUCUGGGUGGCCUGGAAAAGAAUCCCGUCCAUGGCACAUGGAACAAGAAUCUGCUCAGUAAAUGCGGUUGGAAAGUGGGGGAACAGAAUGAAAAGACAGGAAACUGAAAGGGUAGUGAAACCACAUACGAGGCAGCACCUGGUGCCUUCCAUGGGAAGGGAUGUCUAAGUGCCCAGCAGGGUAAACGCAGGCGGCUGCUUGGCCUGCCUGGGACGCCCCCUGCCAGGCCCCGCGCAGCCCUCUUGCCGGCUGAGGGAAGUGGAGCAUCACAGAGAAGCGACCCGAACCCCAGGAGCCCUCGGGUGUGCGCACUGCCAGCCCGCUCAGCCCUGCACAGAGAUGUUGGUCAAGUGGAGCUGGAGAUUUUCAUUAAGAGAUACUGCUUUUACCACACUGAAAAAGGUGAGCAAAGAAUUCUGUAUUCUUUUCUGUCCUAUGUGAAGAGGUUAAUUUACUGGAUAAGUUAUAAACGUAUG